AAUUUGUCAAUAUUUGUAAUAUCCAUAUGAAUUCAUUAAUCCAAAACUCUAAUCCAUUCAUAUUCAUCAUAACUCAAAUUGAAAUCCAAACAAAUUCAUGAUAAUUUAUGAUACCCAAUUUUAAUUGAUAAAAAACCCAAUCAAAAUCUUUAAAUUGGAAACGAAUAUUGACCUAAAGACAAGUAAGAUUAGGCCUUGACAAGAGGACUUUCGUCAAAAUUGAUAUAGCUUCAAUUACUCUUCUGUCGUUGUUUUUCGGAG
rnacentral:lncRNA from 1 species